rnacentral:tRNA from 3 species
GGAGGGGUGUCUGAGUGGUUUAAAGAACCGGUCUUGAAAACCGGCGUGCCGCAAGGUACCGGGGGUUCGAAUCCCUCCCCCUCCGCCA